rnacentral:rRNA from 1 species
UACGUAGGGGGCUAGCGUUGUCCGGAAUCAUUGGGCGUAAAGCGCGUGUAGGCGGUCCGGUAAGUCCGCUGUGAAAGUCGAGGGCUCAACCCUCGAAUGCCGGUGGAUACUGUCGGGCUUGAGUACGGGAGAGGCGAGUGGAAUUCCUGGUGUAGCGGUGAAAUGCGCAGAUAUCAGGAGGAACACCGGUGGCGAAGGCGGGUCUCUGGGCCGAAACUGACGCUGAGGAGCGAAAGCGUGGGGAGCAAACAGG